AAAAGAAUAAUAUGAAGAGGUGCCUGCCGGCCGAGCCGCGCAGGAUAAUAGGGAAAAGGGUGCAAAGCCCUUGCGGUCCCGCCGCUGUAACGGAGGAGUCGUAUCAAAUAAGCCACUGGGAAACCGGGAAGGCGUGAUACGAUAAUGAUACCGGAGCCAGAAGACCUGCCCUUCAUAAGGGGAGCAU
rnacentral:ncRNA from 2 species